GGCACGGUGGCACAGAGGUUAGUACUACUGCCUUUCAGCAAGAAGCUUGUGGGUUCGAAUCCGGCCUGGGGCC